GUAAUAUGAGGAUUGGUUGCAUACACACUCCUGUACUUCAGAAUUAAUUAUUAGGGAUGCUAGGAAUCGUAUGAACUCGUAGUUAAGGAUAGGCUUUCUUACCGAUGACAGCGGUAUUAAGUGUUUUAGAGAGUGGCUUUAACAUUAAUGAAGAAGAGAAAUUCUUAUAUGCAUGAGAGUGAUUAGGUGAAAUCUAACCC
rnacentral:lncRNA from 1 species